AUGAACGCUGGCGGCGUUCCUAAUACAUUCAAGUCGAGCCAACAGACUAGUAUCUUUCUCCUCUUACGUUAUCGGCGUCCGGGUUAUUAACCCUUUGUUAACCUACCUAUAUUUCUUGGAUAACUUCGGGAAACCGGUUCUAAUUCCUGUUAAUAUAUUUAACCUCUUUGUUCAAUUGUUAAAUACGGUUUUUCUUUCACUUAUAUAUUGAUCCGCGCGGCAUUAGCUAGUUGGUAAGGUAACGGCUUACCAAGGCAACGAUGCGUACCCGACCUGAGAGGGUGAUCGGACACACGGGAAGUGAGAAAGGGAACAGAGGACUACGGGAGGCAGCAGUAGGGAAUCGUCCGGAAUGGGCGAAAGCAGGACGGAGCAAGGCCGCGUGAGUGAUGAAGGUGUUGGGAGCGUAAAACUCUGUUAUUAGGGAAGAAAAAAAGUGAAAGAAAAUAUGCACGUAGUGACGGUAACUAAAAAGAAAGCAACGGCUAACUACGUG
rnacentral:rRNA from 1 species